rnacentral:rRNA from 1 species
UACGUAGGGUGCAAGCGUUGUCCGGAAUUAUUGGGCGUAAAGAGCUCGUAGGCGGUUUGUCGCGUCUGCUGUGAAAACUCAGGGCUUAACCCUGAGCUUGCAGUGGGUACGGGCAGACUAGAGUGCGGUAGGGGAGACUGGAAUUCCUGGUGUAGCGGUGAAAUGCGCAGAUAUCAGGAGGAACACCGGUGGCGAAGGCGGGUCUC